ensembl:snRNA
GAAUACUAGCACUGCCCUUGAUAAAAAUAGAAGUCCCAGUGAUCUUUACAAUACAUAGAGUUAAAGCAUCACCACCUACUUUGUGGCAUCUAACCACAUUU